UGGGGAAUUUUGGACAAGGGGGGAAACCCUGAUCCAGCCAUCCCGCGUGUGCGAUGAAGGCCUUCGGGUUGUAAAGCACUUUUGGCAGGAAAGAAACGUCAUGGGUUAAUACCCCGUGAAACUGACGGUACCUGCAGAAUAAGCACCGGCUAACUACGUGCCAGCAGCCGCGGUAAUACGUAGGGUGCAAGCGUUAAUCGGAAUUACUGGGCGUAAAGCGUGCGCAGGCGGUUCGGAAAGAAAGAUGUGAAAUCCCAGAGCUCAACUUUGGAACUGCAUUUUUAACUACCGGGCUAGAGUGUGUCAGAGGGAGGUGGAAUUCCGCGUGUAGCAGUGAAAUGCGUAGAUAUGCGGAGGAACACCGAUGGCGAAGGCAGCCUCCUGGGAUAACACUGCCGCUCAUGCACGAAAGCGUGGGGAGCAAACAGG
rnacentral:rRNA from 1 species